rnacentral:rRNA from 1 species
GCUAUUUCAUUAACAAUGGAGUAGUGUGACGGUACCUUAUAAGAAAGCCCCGGCUAACUUCGUGCCAGCAGCCGCGGUAAUACGAGGGGGGCAAGCGUUGUCCGGAUUUAUUGGGCGUAAAGAGUUCGUAGGCGGGCUAAUCAGUCAAGAUUGAAAUCCCACGACUUAAUCGUGGUUCCGGUUUUGAUACUGUUAGUCUUGAAUGGGAUAGAGGUAAGCGGAAUUCCUGGUGUAGCGGUGAAAUGCGUAGAUAUCAGGAGGAACACCGAUGGCGAAGGCAGCUUACUAGGUCCAUAUUGACGCUGAGGAACGAAAGCGUGGGUAGCAAACAGGAUUAGAGACCCUGGUAGUCCACGCCGUAAACGAUGAGUACUUGAUGGUGGGGGAUUCGACCCCUUCACUGUCGGAGCUAACGCGUUAAGUACUCCGCCUGGGGACUACGACCGCAAGGUUGAAACUCAAAGGAAUUGACGGGGACCCGCACAAGCGGUGGAUUAUGUGGUUUAAUUCGAUGCAACGCGAAGAACCUUACCUGGACUUGACAUGUUAAUGAAAGUUCAAUGAAAGUUAAACCCUCUUUAAGCUUGCUUAAAGACAUUAUCACAGGUGAUGCAUGGCUGUCGUCAGCUCGUGUCGUGAGAUGUUCGGUUAAGUCCGAUAACGAGCGCAACCCCUGCUUUUAGUUGCCAGCACGUAAUGGUGGGGACUCUAGAAGGACUGCCCGGGAUAACCGGUAGGAAGGUGGGGUUGAUGUCAAGUCAGUAUGUCCCUUAUGUUCAGGGCUACACACGUAAUACAAUGGAGAGUACAAAGGGUAGCAAUAUCGCGAGAUGGAGCCAAUCUCAAAAAACUCUUCUAAGUUCGGAUUGCAGUCUGCAACUCGACUGCAUGAAGUUGGAAUCGCUAGUAAUCGCGGAUCAGCAUGCCGCGGUGAAUACGUUCCCGGGUCUUGUACACACCGCCCGUCACGCCAUGGAAGCUGGUAGCACCCUAAGUCAGUGUCCUAACCUUCGGGAGGGAGCUGCCUAAGGUGAGAUUGGUGACUGGGGCGAAGUCGUAACAAGGUAGCCGUACCGGAAGGUGCGGCUG